GCCUAGGUGGCUCCGUUGGUAAAGCGUAUGACUUCAGCUCAGGUCAUGAUCUCAUGGCUCAUGGGUUCGAGUCCCACAUUAGGCU
rnacentral:tRNA from 1 species